GAUAUCAACGAAUGCAUGGAGGGUGAAAAUGAUUGUGUGGGUACGUGCGUCAAUACUUACGGCUCAUACACAUGCGAAUGUGAUGGUACAAGCCCGUAUGCGGAUCAUAAUUGUAGAGCCAUUAACGAGUGUAAGAACCCAGAGUUGAACAGCUGUACACAACAAUGCAUCAAAAUGGAGACUUCGUAUAGAUGUGACUGCUACCUAGGAAACGCCCUUAUUAACUUUAACACGUGCAUAGCGUGUGGCAUGGGUUAUUAUCGAGACACGGACAGCGUGGAAUGCGUGGCGUGUCCUCCAAACUCGGUCACCGAAGGCGACGGUUCGACAUCCCUGGCCGAUUGCACAUGUGAAGAGGGUUCUUCUAAGGAGUUUACAACACUGUGUUGUUUCAAGGGCACAUACCUGGCAACCUGAGAUCUGACCGUGAGUGUAGCCCGAGCACAGUGUGGAGUUGGUGUUCACAUGUGUCUCAAGACUUUGUUGGUUGAUGUUCUUAGAGCAGAAGUCAUCGUUGUACAGCCGCAUCUUGGCCUCACGCAGCCCCAUCCUGCAAGAAAGCACUGGAGAUUGGUGGGCACAGGAGCACUGAUUUCUGGUAGACAAAUGGGCUGAACAAAGUCCCCAAACUUCACAGCAGAAGACAGUUUGAGGAGGGCCAUAUCCCAG